rnacentral:rRNA from 1 species
ACGCUCGACACCUACGGGAAGCAGCAGUCGGGAAUAUUGCGCAAUGGAGGAAACUCUGACGCAGUGACGCCGCGUGCAGGAAGAAGGUUUUCGGAUUGUAAACUGCUUUAGACAGGGAAGAAAGAAAUGACAGUACCUGUAGAAUAAGCUCCGGCUAACUACGUACCAGCAGCCGCGGUAAUCUGAGCGGCUGGCAAGGC